UACGUAGGGGGCUAGCGUUGUCCGGAAUCAUUGGGCGUAAAGCGCGUGUAGGCGGCUCGGUAAGUCCGCUGUGAAAGUCGGGGGCUCAACCCUCGGAUGCCGGUGGAUACUGUCGGGCUAGAGUACGGAAGAGGCGAGUGGAAUUCCUGGUGUAGCGGUGAAAUGCGCAGAUAUCAGGAGGAACACCAAUUGCGAAGGCAGCUCGCUGGGACGUUACUGACGCUGAGACGCGAAAGCGUGGGGAGCAAACAGG
rnacentral:rRNA from 1 species